CCUACGGGUGGCAGCAGUGAGGAAUAUUGGUCAAUGGGCGAGAGCCUGAACCAGCCAAGUCGCGUGAGGGAGUACUGCCCUAUGGGUUGUAAACCUCUUUUGUCGGGGAGCAAAAGCCGGACGGUUCGGGUCGUGAGAGUAACCGAAGAAAAAGCAUCGGCUAACCUCGUGGCAGCAGCCGCGGGAAUACGGAGGGUGCGAGCGUUAUUCGGGUUUUUUGGGGUUAAAGGGUGCGGAAGGUGUGUUUUAAGGCAGCGGGGAAAGUUUGUGGCUCAAACCUACGAUUGCCGUUGAAACUGGAAGUCUUGAGUGUGUUUGAGGUAGGCGGAAUGCGUGGUGUAGCGGUGAAAGGCAUAGAUAUCACGCAGAACUCCGAUUGCGAAGGCAGCUUAC
rnacentral:rRNA from 1 species